CAGUCGCCGCGGGAAUACGAAGGGGGCUAGCGUUGCUCGGAAUGACUGGGCGUAAAGGGCGCGUAGGCGGUUUGUACAGUUGGAUGUGAAAUUCCUGGGCUUAACCUGGGGGCUGCAUUCAAUACGUGCAGGCUUGAGUGGGGAAGAGGGUCGUGGAAUUCCCAGUGUAGAGGUGAAAUUCGUAGAUAUUGGGAAGAACACCGGUGGCGAAGGCGGCGACCUGGUCCUUGACUGACGCUGAGGCGCGAAAGCGUGGGGAGCAAACAGGAUUAGAUACCCCAGUAGUCCCUGUCUCUUAUAC
rnacentral:rRNA from 1 species